AGGAGUGGAGCCUGCGGCUUAAUUUGACUCAACACGGGAAACCUCACCAGGCCCGGACACCGGAAGGAUUGACAGAUUGAGAGCUCUUUCUUGAUUCGGUGGGUGGUGGUGCAUGGCCGUUCUUAGUUGGUGGAGCGAUUUGUCUGGUUAAUUCCGAUAACGAACGAGACUCUAGCCUGCUAAAUAGGCGUAACUUUCCGGUAUCUCGAAGGCUCACAUCUUUCGGUAUGCCGUGUAUGCGUGUCGCUUGAACACAUUCAUCUUCGGGUGGAUGAUGGGCAUCGGCCGUAUGCCGGUCGGAAGUUUGUGUGGUUUUUACUACCGGCGUACAAUUAAUUCUUCUUAGAGGGACAGGCGGCUUUUAGCCGCACGAGAUUGAGCAAUAACAGGUCUGUGAUGCCCUUAGAUGUUCUGGGCCG
rnacentral:rRNA from 1 species